rnacentral:lncRNA from 1 species
AGGCUUUCCCCGCGGAGAAGACGACUCCGACAGGUGGGCCCCACCUGUCGGUGGCUCGGCGCGGUCGGAACCGGGCCGGUUCGGCCCUUUUGGCCGGGCCGGUCCGGUUUCUUCCCUUUUUUUUUCCUUUUAGCCUUUUCUUUUUUCCUUUUUCUCAUUUCUUUGAUAUCUUUUGAUUUUGGAAAAUCAUGUUUUGUCAUGAUUCAACUUUUGGGAGUAAUUUCCCCUAAAAAUAAAAUAUCUAAAAAUACAUUUGCCCUCUAAAUGCCUUUAGGGCUAUAUAACUAUUUAAAUAAAAUAGUUUUUCAACUCCAAAUAACUAUCCAAAAAUUAUGGGAUUGCUUAUUUAUGCAAUAAACCCCUUUUGUAAAUAAACCCUAUUGGUUUGAAGAUCCGAAGCUCAAAUGGGUGUAAACCCUAGGGUUUAAAUUGAAAUAAAAUCUUUUCAAAGCCUUUUGAGAUUCAAAUUUGAAUUCAAAUAUGUAAUUGUGGCAUGAUGCUUAUGGAUGCAAUGCACAUGUAAAAGUUUGAAAUUUUUGGGAUGUUACAGACCUAAGCCCCUUAAGAUGAAUCUCGUCCUCGAGAUUCGGCAUUGUUAGCAAAGAGGUGUGGGUGGUCUUCUCGAACAUCAUCUUCGUGCUCCCAAGUAGCUUCCUCUUCAGUGUGAUGGUCCCACUGAACUUUGCAAAACUUGAUGGUCUUGGAUCGGGUUUGUCUCUCAGUUGUAUCCAAGAUUCUGAUCGGUUUCUCCUCAUAGGUGAGGUCACUCUGUAUCUAGACUUCCUCAAGUGUGAUUGUAUCCCUCAGUGGUGUAUCAGCCAUCUCAGGAUGACACUUCUUCAGUUGUGACACAUGGAAGACAUUGUGGACAUUGGACAGUGCUUCCGGUAAGUCCAGUUUGUAGGCUACGUCCCCUUGGCAUGACAAGAUCUUGAAAGGUCCAAUGAAACGGGGUGCCAACUUUCCUUGAUUCCAAAUCUCUUAACUCCACGUAUCGGUGAAACUCGAUACGCUCUUCCUUCAAUCUCGUAGGUAACCUCCCUACGUUUGGAAUCCGCGUAGGGAAUCCGCGUAGCUCUUCUGCCUUGACUGAGCUACCUUCAAUAGGUCUCAGAUGAGCCUAACCUUUUCCUCGGCAUCCUUUAUCAAAUGUGGGCCGAAUAGGCUACGGUCUCCUACACCAUCCCAUAAAAAUGGUGUUCUGCACUUCCUUCCAUACAAAGCUUCAAACGGUGACAUUCCUAUGCUGGCUUGGAAGCUGUUGUUGUAUAAGAGUUCUGC